AAGUCAUAGUAUUUACUAAUUUUUUCCGUGUACGCCCUAGAGAUAUUAUCAUCCGAUGGUACUGUGAUGUCUAUAAUAUAACAAAUUUUGCUUUCUUUUUUGAACAGAACGAUAUCCGGUCGGUUGUUCGCCACUGGUCUUUCGGUCACUAUCGUGGUAUCCCAAUAUAAUUUAUAGGAUUCGUUCUCGAGGACACCCUCAGCGCAAUGGCCUGGUGAUAAAUUUUCGCCAUUUGGUUGUGCCUGUCGGUAUAUUCUCUAGGCGCAAGGAUGGAGCACCCAGAUGUCACGUGCUGAAUAUGCUCUCGUCCCUGCCCGCAUUUCCGACACAAAUCAGUGGUCAGGUGUUGUCCUGCAAUGUUUUUAAGAUUGUUGGGGUAUCUACCAUGCAGAGCUUUAGCCUUCCAUUCUUCCCGAAAACUUUGCUGAGUGCGGACCGGCGGAGCGAAUCCUGAGUCCGAGAGCCGCAACGGAGAGCAUCCCACAUCGAUCGCCCGAAGGGUCCUGAAGUAAGGUGAGUUCUGCUGCAUAAAAUAUUCCCUCAAUCUUAUUACGGUCUUAUUGUGAGCUGUUUCUAAAUUAACCAAUCCUCUUCCGCCCAGGUGUCUUUGGAGGUAGAGUCUAGCCACGGAGGAGUGUGGGUGAUGUACACCGUAUUUCGUCAAGAUGGUUCGAAUUUUUGUAUCCAAGGCUUGCAACUCCGUAGUCGACCAGGUUGUCUGCUGCUAACCUGAUCUUAUUAUGGAAAUCGCCCGCACCAAGCCUUAGCUUAUACUCUUUUGCUAUGAUCUUCAUUGAUUUCAUUACUCUCCUGGACGGUUGCUGUGUGGAAAGGCGUGUCUUCCAUGGCGGAUCACCAGAAGGCCUCCUCAUCUCAACCGGCGAUUCCGUCUUACCCUGGAGUUCAGCAACAGUUAUGGCCCCCGCGUAAACCAUAUCCACAAUUUGUAGAAGAGAGUGGUCCCUGUCAAUGAUCCGUGACAGUAUCUUGUCGACCGCACUCAUAUCUUCUUUGAGCUUUCUGCAGUGCCUGAGUCUCGGGAUUUUUGGCCUGAUUUUUGGAUCCAUUCCUCUGAACUUCAACAGGUUCCUGUUCAACGCUGCAAAAAUGUGAGCCUGUGAGCCCACUCCUUCGCCCCGGAUAUUCUCGUCCUCAGGUGCCAGUUCAACAUUUUCAUGAGGAACUAUUUCAACAAUGGUUUCGUCACUCUCAUUUCCAAGAAUUAUGUCUGGCCAACAGCUGUUCUCUAUCAUACUCAACUCUGUCCGGGGUAUCUUUUCUUCAUUCAAUAUCCAGCGAACUCUAUUUGCUAUAUGCUGGGCAUAUGUGCGUCUAUCCGGUCUCAUGUCAUUCCAAAUCUCAUUUAAGGUACGCAUAUAGUUUAUUCCUCUUCCGCCCGCUAACUUCAUCGCUAUAUAGUGUGCGCGA